AUUGAACGCUGGCGGCAUGCUUUACACAUGCAAGUCGAACGGUAACAGGCCGCAAGGUGCUGACGAGUGGCGAACGGGUGAGUAAUGCAUCGGAACGUGCCCAGUCGUGGGGGAUAACUACUCGAAAGAGUAGCUAAUACCGCAUACGAUCUAUGGAUGAAAGCGGGGGACCGUAAGGCCUCGCGCGAUUGGAGCGGCCGAUGUCAGAUUAGGUAAUUGGUGGGGUAAAGGCUCACCAAGCCAACGAUCUGUAGCUGGUCUGAGAGGACGACCAGCCACACUGGGACUGAGACACGGCCCAGACUCCUACGGGAGGCAGCAGUGGGGAAUUUUGGACAAUGGGCGCAAGCCUGAUCCAGCAAUGCCGCGUGCAGGAAGAAGGCCUUCGGAUUGUAAACUGCUUUUGUACGGAACGAAACGGCUCUGGUUAAUACCCGGGGCUAAUGACGGUACCGUAAGAAUAAGCACCGGCUAACUACGUG
rnacentral:rRNA from 1 species